rnacentral:tRNA from 1 species
GCCGGAGUGGUGAAAUUGGUAGACACGCUGGAUUCAAAAUCCUGUGGGGGUGACCCCGUGAGAGUUCGAGUCUCUCCUCCGGCA